UACAGGGGGGGCAAGCGUUGUUCGGAAUUACUGGGCGUAAAGGGCUCGUAGGCGGCCAACUAAGUCACACGUGAAAUCCCCAGGCUUAACCUGGGAACUGCGUGUGAUACUGGAUGGCUUGAAUUCGGGAGAGGGAUGCAGAAUUCCAGGUGUAGCGGUGAAAUGCGUAGAUAUCUGGAGGAAUACCGGUGGCGAAGGCGGCAUCCUGGACCGAAACUGACGCUUAAGCGCGAAAGCUAGGGGAGCAAACGGG
rnacentral:rRNA from 1 species